GUAAUUUCCGGUUUGUAAUUGAAAAACGAGAAAUUUUGAAACAAUUACGUUUUUUGUCUACAUUUACUGCUGUUCGAGGAUGCUUCUGUCGAGUUAUGACAGGACAGUAUCCAUGCUCCCUGUCGGACACCCUCCCAUGUUGCAGUUAACAUUUCCCUGCCAGUCUUCUUCCCCCAUCAUGCCCAACUGACUGGUUCAAUAUUGUUCAAAACUAUAUGGAAAUGCCUCGUCAUCGUAGUUUGGAGUAUGUGCAGAGCACUGAGGAUAACAAGCAGUUUAUUUGCUUGAUGAGACUGAUUUGCCGGGGAAGGGAGCAGACACUGCUGUGAGCAUGAUGAUCACUACUUCAAGUACCAUGGUUUGGAGAUGAAAAGCCGAAAAUGGCACUUUGGUCUUUGGAAAAGCAGCAAACAGGCCUGGCUUUGUGCAGUGCAGGUGUGUUGCAUCGGAUAUGGUGUAGUUUACCUUAAUGAAAACCAGAGUAGUUGUGUUACCUGAACUCCUUUCCGAAAUCUGCAUCAAGGGGAUGGAUCUUGAAUGGCAGUGGUAUUAACAUGACAAGAUCAGAUAAUACAGCAGAUUUGACAUUUAAAAAGACAGUGUGCCCUUGACAGUCUCAACCAAAGCAUUGAACAAACUGUACAACCUGUUAAUUAACUUUUAGAGCUGUUUGUUUGGACUAGUGUUUGUCAUUCAGAAAUAAGUAUUAACAUUAUUUCUCAGUAUGAGAAAACUCCAGGAAUUAGAAACUUACUGAUAUUUACUAUAACUAUGUAAACAAACCUCUUACGGGUUUAGCCAGGUUAAAGAAAGACAGGGAGCCACAGAAAAGAGACAGGUUUCCAUGUGUCAAUAGAACACCCUUCAUUUAGCUGUGAAGAAUUUUAACAUUUUGAAUGUUACAGAAAAUGUAAGGAACAUUGUAUAAUGUUUAAUUGAAGUACUAUUAGGUUUCAAGUGCCAAAUAUGUAAAGCCUGUGUGUAUUUAUAAUCAUGUUAAUAUAAAGUUGUUAUCAAAACAAAAUCAAUAUUUGACUGUCUUAAGCUUUUAAUUCUAUGAAGGCAGGAGGUUGCCAAUCUAUUUGUUAGUUCUACCUUUUUCAUAACUGUGGCCAGGGGUUUGCAGGCCCUUAUAACACUUUAAAAAAAAACUGAUAAAAUUUCAAUUUUACUCUGUUAACUUUGAUAUGGUAAUCUAAUCUUACUGCAGCUCAUUUCUGCAAUAUUAUGACUGAAACUGUAUGUUAUAACAAUAAGUAUGGUUACCUGUAAGUUACUUAAAUGGAAUUUUUUGACAAGUAUAUAAGACAAAAUUAUUGGAAAAAAUAAGAAAAAAAUUGUUUGUUAAAAGGUAUAAUGCAUGUAUGUAGACAAAAACAAAAUGAAUAAUUACUUUGUGUUUGAAUAAACUGUAUAAUAAUUGUUUUCACUUCUUACAUUUGAUAUAUUCUCUAAAAUGGCAAUUUAGGAUUUGACUCCAAAAGUUUUGCACACAGUAUCACAAUAUAUAUAUAUAUAUAUCACAGGUUAUUCACAUCUACUGAUCUCCAAUAGUUCACAUUUAUUGUUCGCAUAUUGUUAACAUUUAUUGGUUCAUAGUUCGCGAAUGGUUCACAUGUACUAUUCGCAAAUUGUUUACAUGUACUGUUCGCAAAUUGUUUACAUUUAAUAUUCGCAAGUUGUUACCAUUUAAUAUUCGCGAAUUGUUAACAUUUAAUAUUCGCAAGUUGUUACCAUUUAAUAUUCGCGAAUUGUUAACAUUUAAUAGUCGCAAGUUGUUAACAUUUAAUGAUCUCCAUUUGUACAAUUUGUUCACAAUUUGUUCGCAAUUUGAGUUCGCAGAUAAUCUAAUUUGCAUGUGAAAAGUGAACAUUCUGUGAACAUUGUGCGAAUGAAUUCUUAGAAGAAGAUACAUGUUCGCAGAUAGUUCGCAAAAUAUUUACAUAUUAUUCACAAUAACUGUUCACAUUUAAUGCAUUUUUUCUGUAAGGGUGUCGUAUUACCUUGUGAUUCGUAUUUUCGAUUAACUUAUGCUAUAAAUUAUGCUAAUCUACCUACAUUUUAUAUAAAGUCUAAUGUCUUUCAACUGCCAAAUAUGUUUAUGUGAUUUUACUAUAAGAAUUAUUUAUUUGUUUCAAGUGUACAUACUGAAUAUUAUUAUUUGCAUGAACUGAUGUGUGUGAUAUAUUAGUUACAUAAAUUAUGCUAUUUAUUUAUAUAAUGUCGGUCAAAAGCUAUUCACAGCUUAUGUUAAACUGUUGAUGAUAGUACCCGACAAUAAAUAAAUAUUGACUUGA